rnacentral:tRNA from 1 species
UAUUUUAAUAGCUUAUAAGUAAAGUUUAAUAUUGAAGAUAUUAAGAAGAUAAUGUAUCUUAGAAUAU